CAGUCGCCGCGGUAAUACAGAGGGUGCGAGCGUUAAUCGGAUUUACUGGGCGUAAAGCGUGCGUAGGUGGUGGUUUAAGUCCGUUGUGAAAGCCCUGGGCUCAACCUGGGAAUUGCAGUGGAUACUGGGUCACUAGAGUGUGGUAGAGGAUAGUGGAAUUUCCGGUGUAGCAGUGAAAUGCGUAGAGAUCGGAAGGAACAUCUGUGGCGAAGGCGACUAUCUGGGCCAACACUGACACUGAGGCACGAAAGCGUGGGGAGCAAACAGGAUUAGAUACCCGUGUAGUCCCUGUCUCUUAUAA
rnacentral:rRNA from 1 species